GGUCUGGUGGUGUAGUGGUUAUCACGUCAGUCUCACACACUGAAGGUCCCCGGUUCAAUCCCGGGUCGGAUCA